rnacentral:rRNA from 1 species
GAUGAACGCUAGCGGGAGGCUUAACACAUGCAAGUCGAGGGGCAGCAUAGGGUAGCAAUACUCUGAUGGCGACCGGCAAACGGGUGAGUAACGCGUAUGCAACCUACCCUGUACAGGGGGAUAACCCGGAGAAAUUCGGACUAAUAUCCCGUAAUAAUAUCCGGAGGCAUCUUUGGAUAUUUAAAGUUCCGACGGUACGGGAUGGGCAUGCGUAACAUUAGCUGGUUGGUAAGGUAACGGCUUACCAAGGCUAUGAUGUUUAGGGGUCCUGAGAGGGUGGUCCCCCACACUGGUACUGAGACACGGACCAGACUCCUACGGGAGGCAGCAGUGAGGAAUAUUGGUCAAUGGGCGCAAAGCCUGAACCAGCCAUCCCGCGUGCAGGAAGACGGCCCUAUGGGUUGUAAACUGCUUUUCCAGGGAGAGAAACUUACGCACGUGUUGCGUGACUGACGGUACCCUGGGAAUAAGCAUCGGCUAACUCCGUG